GAUAAAAUGGCUGAGGGUAGGCGAUAAAUUGUAAAUUUAUUAACGAGUUAUAUAUCUCUUUUAUUA
rnacentral:tRNA from 1 species